rnacentral:rRNA from 1 species
ACGGGGCCCGCACAAGCGGUGGAGCAUGUGGUUUAAUCGAAGCAACGCGAAGAACCUUACCAGGUCUUGACAUCCCGAUGCUAUUUCUAGAGAUAGAAAGUUACUUCGGUACAUCGGUGACAGGUGGUGCAUGGUUGUCGUCAGCUCGUGUCGUGAGAUGUUGGGUUAAGUCCCGCAACGAGCGCAACCCCUAUUGUUAGUUGCCAUCAUUCAGUUGGGCACUCUAGCGAGACUGCCGGUAAUAAACCGGAGGAAGGUGGGAUGACGUCAAAUCAUCAUGCCCCUUAUGACCUGGGCUACACACGUGCUACAAUGGUUGGUACAACGAGUUGCGAGUCGGUGACGGCGAGCUAAUCUCUUAAAGCCAAUCUCAGUUCGGAUUGUAGGCUGCAACUCGCCUACAUGAAGUCGGAAUCGCUAGUAAUCGCGGAUCAGCACGCCGCGGUGAAUACGUUCCCGGGCCUU